GAUGAAGAACGUAGUGAAAUGCGAUACGUAAUGUGAAUUGCAGAAUUCAGUGAAUCAUCGAGUCUUUGAACGCACAUUGCGCCCCCUGGUAUUCCGGGGGGCAUGCCUGUCCGAGCGUCAUUGCUGCCCUCAAGCACGGCUUGUGUUUUGGGCCUCCGUCCUCCUCCCGGGGGACGGGCCCGAAAGGCAGCGGCGGCACCGCGUCCGGUCCUCGAGCGUAUGGGGCUUCGUCACCCGCUCUUGUAGGCCCGGCCGGCGCUUGCCGACACAUCAAUCUUUUUUCCAGGUUGACCUCGGAUCAGGUAGGGAUACCCGCUGAACUUAAGCAUAUCAAUAAGCGGAGGA
rnacentral:misc_RNA from 1 species